CCUACGGGAGGCAGCAGUGGGGAAUAUUGGGCAAUGGGCGAAAGCCUGACCCGGCAACGCCGCGUGAAGGAAGAAGGCUUUCGGGUUGUAAACUUCUUUUCUCAGGGACGAAGCAAGUGACGGUACCUGAGGAAUAAGCCACGGCUAACUACGUGCCAGCCGCCGCGGUAAUACGUAGGUGGCAAGCGUUAUCCGGAUUUACUGGGUGUAAAGGGCGUGUAGGCGGGAAAGCAAGUCAGAUGUGAAACCCAUGGGCUCAACCUGUGGCCUGCAUUUGAAACUGUUUUUCUUGAGUACUGGAGAGGCAGGCGGAAUUCCUAGUGUAGCGGUGAAAUGCGUAGAUAUUAGGAGGAACACCAGUGGCGAAGGCGGUCUGCUGGACAGCGACUGACGCUGAGGCUCGAAAGCGUGGGGAGCAAACAGGAUUAGAUACCCUUGUAGUC
rnacentral:rRNA from 1 species